rnacentral:rRNA from 1 species
AGAGUUUGAUCCUGGCUCAGAUUGAACGCUAGCGGGAUGCUUUACACAUGCAAGUCGAACGGCAGCACGAGAGAGCUUGCUCUCUUGGUGGCGAGUGGCGGACGGGUGAGUAAUAUAUCGGAACGUGCCCAGUAGCGGGGGAUAACUACUCGAAAGAGUGGCUAAUACCGCAUACGCCCUACGGGGGAAAGGGGGGGAUCGCAAGACCUCUCACUAUUGGAGCGGCCGAUAUCGGAUUAGCUAGUUGGUGGGGUAAAGGCUCACCAAUGCAACGAUCCAUAGCUGGUUUGAGAGGACGACCAGCCACACUGGGAUUGAGACACGGCCCAGACUCCUACGGGAGGCAGCAGUGGGGAAUUUUGGACAAUGGGGGAAACCCUGAUCCAGCCAUCCCGCGUGUAUGAUGAAGGCCUUCGGGUUGUAAAGUACUUUUGGCAGAGAAGAAAAGGUAUCCCCUAAUACGGGAUACUGCUGACGGUAUCUGCAGAAUAAGCACCGGCUAACUACGUGCCAGCAGCCGCGGUAAUACGUAGGGUGCAAGCGUUAAUCGGAAUUACUGGGCGUAAAGCGUGUGUAGGCGGUUCGGAAAGAAAGAUGUGAAAUCCCAGGGCUCAACCUUGGAACUGCAUUUUUAACUGCCGAGCUAGAGUAUGUCAGAGGGGGGUAGAAUUCCACGUGUAGCAGUGAAAUGCGUAGAUAUGUGGAGGAAUACCGAUGGCGAAGGCAGCCCCCUGGGAUAAUACUGACGCUCAGACACGAAAGCGUGGGGAGCAAACAGGAUUAGAUACCCUGGUAGUCCACGCCCUAAACGAUGU